UAGGGAAUCUUCGGCAAUGGACGAAAGUCUGACCGAGCAACGCCGCGUGAGUGAAGAAGGUUUUCGGAUCGUAAAACUCUGUUGUUAGAGAAGAACAAGGACGUUAGUAACUGAACGUCCCCUGACGGUAUCUAACCAGAAAGCCACGGCUAACUACGUGCCAGCAGCCGCGGUAAUACGUAGGUGGCAAGCGUUGUCCGGAUUUAUUGGGCGUAAAGCGAGCGCAGGCGGUUUCUUAAGUCUGAUGUGAAAGCCCCCGGCUCAACCGGGGAGGGUCAUUGGAAACUGGGAGACUUGAGUGCAGAAGAGGAGAGUGGAAUUCCAUGGGGAGCGGUGAAAUGCGUAGAUAUAUGGAGGAACACCAGUGGCGAAGGCGGCUCUCUGGUCUGUAACUGACGCUGAGGCUCGAAAGGGUGGGGAGCAAACAGG
rnacentral:rRNA from 1 species